UCUUGUUAUAAACUUUUAUAUACAUUUUUAAUCUAAUCGCUUAUUAUUAGUUGGGUUUUACAAAGGAUCGAGAAAAGUUAAACGUUGACUUAGUUGAGAUCACUAUUCUCUGUUGGUCUUAAAACUUUCUAAGCGAUUAUUUUUUUUUGUUCGGCCAGCUAAGAUCUAGGCUCUAAGAAUCCGAUAUGAAUCCUUUAUAAAUAUUAAACGUUGCAUUAUGUAUCUAAUGGCAAACGAUGAAUGGUCGACGACCAGUUUUGGAUAAUAAUUUUUAUUUCUCAAAGACUAGUCGAAGAAUCCAGCGCAGACUAACGAGCGGCGUGGACUAUAAUUAACCGCUUAACGACCAGUCGUUGACAAAAAAGAAAAAACCAUGUAAACGGAUAUCCACGUGUCUGCUUGAGAGUUUGGUCUUUUUGAAGAAUAGAUCAAUAAAAUAGUCAACCAAUGUAAAUAAAAAUGUCCACGCAUGGAAAAUCAGUUAUGGCAAACAAUAUCUUACUUAAAUUCUCUGGAAGUUUAUUGAAUACAUGUAAUGAUAUGGCAUCAGACAUUUUUUAAAUUAUUUUCUGUUACAUUAUUUUUUAAAAAAACACAUUUGUGCGCUAUGUAUACAAUUAUCAUAAAUUAGCUUGAAGUUUUUUAGGUAAACUCUUGUGACCGUGCUGCCGAUUUCCCGUAGGGUCUUCAAUUAUUUUUAACCAACCGUGUAAGUACGGAAAUUAAUAGCCUGCUCAAACUUGGCGCGUCACCCUGACCAAAGACUCAAAAGAGUGAAUGGACUAGAAGUGACAAAGGUGGUAUUUAAGUAUCGGCGCGGAACUCAGAAGCAACUCUACAGAUAAGAAAUGGUAACUAAAAAGUACUCAAAUGGACCGAACAUUUAAAAAAAGUUCAUCCCUUCCACACGAAAUCAACAAAUUUACAUACUUUUCAAAAUAGUCGAAUAAGUUCCCAAAAAUUGUGUGGAACAUUCUUUCGACAAACCUGAGGGAACUUGAUUUCUUUGUUUCACGUUUUUGGGACUUAGGUCUUUGAAUUAGAUUACAACCGCCAUACUUGGGUCACCGCUGUUAAUCUAUCUGUAUAUUUUUUUAUUGACAUUGACAAACCCGUCCAUUUAAGUUUUAUAGUUUAUCAUCUAUAUAGGAACUUUCGUCCGAGCAAUAAAUUGUAUAAUAACAAUAAUGAUGUUUGAAAAGAAAUCCAUGAGAACACUCCUUUUGUAACGUCCCACGCAUGAUUUUCGACGAUACGAACCGCAAUCACACGACAUCGGUAAAGACUAUAAUAGAGAUUGUAUAAGAAAAAUAAAACCAUAAUACACGAAUUGAAAAUUACACACAACAGAGGAAUAGACAGUAUUAUUUCCAUAGUAUACUCGUUUGGAGCUGUACUUAUCCAAACAAUGUUUGCACAUUACAUGUGUGACGUCCCGUGUAUACUGACAACAACGUCUGCCACCUGUUAAAACUGCACGGUUAGGUUAGCACCGUUAAAUUUUGCUUACACAGUGCACUGGAAAAAAAGGUUUAUUGUAAAAAUUCACAUUUUAUGAAAAACAAUUUUUAGCUGUUUAGUUAAACACUAUUAAAUGUUAUAACGAAACGCAGAUAUUGAGUCUCUUCUCAAUAUUAUUAUGAAUUAAGCAAAAAGGCCAGCUGCAGUGUGACCAGUAUGGCAAAAUUACAUUCUUCUGGUACAUAUAUUUUAAAAUUCGUUUCACUGCAGCGCAAUAUGAUAAAAAAACACAUAUUAUGACUUAUCAGUUAUAAUAUUAUCACAUAUUUAUGAUAUUUAAUGAAACUGGAAUUUAUCUAUUGAUAGCGAAUGACUCACGUUACUAUCAAUUCAUUAAUUAAGGUAGGUAUAUUUUAAGAAACCAUUCUGAAAAAAACUUCAUUAUUAUAUACAGGUUGUAACCUAUUAAACUUAACACAACUACGUGCAAAAGACACUUUGUCUAACAUGUUUUAAGAUACGUUUAAAACUAAGUUUAAGUAUAAUUAUUGUACAUGAACUAGGCAAACGAAUAUGUUUAUUGUACAGAAAUGUAGGACUGAAUUCGGAAAACGAAGUUCAUUUAUUAUUGGCACUAAUCUGGCAAAGCUUUUAGUUAUUGAUGUUGGUUUAUUUGCAAGCUUAAAAUAGUAUAGAAAAACUAUCGAUGAAAAAAUUAGAUUAUUAAGUUA